AGAAAGCAAUCGAUCGACGUGUUAAGACGUAACGAGGCAAUCGACUUUGAACCUUCAUAGAAGAAACAUCUUACCGAAUGUAUAAACGUUAAGGAAACGAACCCCAUUGAAAAGAAAAAAAAGGAAGAAAGCUGUAAAAAGAAAAACUGUGCUACGUUAGAAGGGACGUAGUAACAGUUAUGUCGAAGAAGAAGAAGAAGAAGAAGAAGAAGAAGAAGAAGAAGAAGAAGAAGAAGAAAGCAAGGCUGCGAGGGUGGGCUUUAUUAUGUCUGAGGAGGAGUCACGCGAGUAAGAAGCUAAGGAGAGAUAUAGCUUAAGCCGAGGACAAAAACUAGAACGGGGGGUUUGCCUUCAGUGUCUUUUGCACGAGGGAUACGGGAUCACAUAAAGGGUUUUAUUAUGUCUCCCUUUUUCUCCCUUUCUGGGAGAAACCACAACGAAGAGCUAGCGGCUAACAAUAAGAGAGACACGUGCGCUCGUACACGCUACGUGCUCUCUUCGAUGACUCGCGUAGAAAAUAUGUACCCUUGGGAUUCGUAUGAAAACUGGUAAUCUUUGAAGAGACAAAUUAAUGUAUUCGUUCGUAGUAAUAUCAUUGAUGAAUCGAAUUAAAGCUGAAUCCCCUCAUCAUUUAAUAUGGGUGAAAUAAAAUUUCCAGCACUAAUAUUCCUUACUAAUAUCCAGAGUGUAGCUAAAAUAACGCAACGAUGUCAUUGUCCCUUCGAGCCAAGCGAUAUCGAUUGAUUCGAGUUAUCGUGGAAUCUCCUAUCGCUACCGACAUAUCCAUCACCUCUUCGAGCCGCGUAAAUAAAUUACGUUCGCGUGACAUUUACCUUUUAUGCUGGCACAGCUUUACCUUCGAUCCUUCUUUCACUCUUCCUCGCUUUUUAUCCUUUCCGCUUCUUCCUCUCAUUGCCUCUUGCGAAAAAGAAACUUUUAUAAAAAGAUGUGUUUUUCCUUCAAAGAGACGAAAACGUAGAACCGCAUGUGGUCACUCAAAGAGUUUUCCCAUGUGUGAAUAAAUCCAAGAAAAAGAGAUGGUUAUGUCAAACAGAUGGAAGAAAGAAAAGGAAGGCGAAACGAGUGCAGUCGAGAGGCAGUGAAUCGUCCUAUAGUAACCUCUUCGAUGGUAUGUUACGAACAUAACCCUCGGACGAAUGUCCUUUUGAUUGCUCGCCCGUUAAGAAGGAUGAUACGUUUUCUUUUGAAUUUGCAAUGUUGCGUAAGUAUUUUCUCUUUCGUUUCUUUUUAGCCAUUUUUCUUUUUAUUUUCUUAUUCGUUUGAAUAUCUGGUGGACAGAAGGACAUUAUAAGUGGGAUAACAUGAGAAAUAUUCUUCGGAUUUGUUUGAAAUGUAAUUGAAUCGACGAUAAUGUAUUAUCAAUUUUCUAUUAAAACAUAUAUUUUGAAUUCUA